UACGUAGGGCGCAAGCGUUAUCCGGAAUUAUUGGGCGUAAAGAGCUCGUAGGCGGUUUGUCGCGUCUGCCGUGAAAGUCCGGGGCUCAACUCCGGAUCUGCGGUGGGUACGGGCAGACUAGAGUGAUGUAGGGGAGACUGGAAUUCCUGGUGUAGCGGUGAAAUGCGCAGAUAUCAGGAGGAACACCGAUGGCGAAGGCAGGUCUCUGGGCAUUAACUGACGCUGAGGAGCGAAAGCAUGGGGAGCGAACAGGAUUAGAACUACUGUCA
rnacentral:rRNA from 1 species